GAUGAACGCUGGCGGCGUGCCUAAUACAUGCCAGUCGAGCGAACGGACGAGAAGCUUGCUUCUCUGAUGUUAGCCGCGGACGGGUGAGUAACACGUGGAUAACCUACCUAUAAGACUGGGAUAACUUCGGGAAACCGGAGCUAAUACCGGAUAAUAUUUUGAACCGCAUGGUUCAAAAGUGAAAGACGGUCUUGCUGUCACUUAUAGAUGGAUCCGCGCUGCAUUAGCUAGUUGGUAAGGUAACGGCUUACCAAGGCAACGAUGCAUAGCCGACCUGAGAGGGUGAUCGGCCACACUGGAACUGAGACACGGUCCAGACUCCUACGGGAGGCAGCAGUAGGGAAUCUUCCGCAAUGGGCGAAAGCCUGACGGAGCAACGCCGCGUGAGUGAUGAAGGUCUUCGGAUCGUAAAACUCUGUUAUUAGGGAAGAACAUAUGUGUAAGUAACUGUGCACAUCUUGACGGUACCUAAUCAGAAAGCCACGGCUAACUACGUG
rnacentral:rRNA from 1 species